rnacentral:lncRNA from 1 species
CCAACUGCAGUGGAGUUGUGGACUUUGAGGCCUGUCUGGGUAAUACAGAUGAAUUCUGUCCUAAAAAUAUUCCUUGUCAAUGUAAAGAUGGAAAACCUUUUUGCAGGUAGUAUGUGGGCUUGGUUUGUUUGUUUAAGUAUACACCAUGUAAAUGUCAAAUAUAUUCUAAAUUAUGAAUUAAAUUUAGAUCCUCCAAAGUAAUCCAUGAAAAUAAAUGUUGAUCUUCAUUCACAAUCUGCAUAAGCUUAUAGCUCUGAUAAAAAGCAUCAAAUCUGGGAUUUGGGCAUAGUGUUUUCUUUUUAAAUAUAUGUGUGGGCUAUGUCAUUCCUAAUGUAGGUAAUCACUGUAAUCCUCAAUUUUUACAGGCUCCCUGUUCUCUCAACUAUUUUACUUUAAAACUGAAUUAGCUGUGUAAUUGCAAGUUCAUUUUUUUUUUUUCAGGCUGAUCACAUUUUCUUUUGAGUUAAAAAAAAUUAGACAUCUUAAUGUUCUAUUCUCCAUUACGUAGUGGGGUUUUUUUCCUUUUAAAAACUUUGUGUCAUAAUGACAGCCAGAAAUGUGAGGUUUCACUCCCACUCAGCAGCUUUGCCAUGCUGACAGCAAAAAGACCUUUGACCUGAGCCAGGCCAUGAUUUAGGGAAUGCAUCCUGUUCCCAACAAAGCUUCUUAUCUUGGACUCCUGAAAUGUUAACUCGGACUUGGUUACUCAGAGCCUGGCAAAGUGUUUUUGCAUCAAAUCUGGAAACAGAUGGGUGUAACUAAGAUAAAAAACACCUUUAAACAUCAAGGAAAAAUAGUGACUCUCUUGGCCCCUGCAGUGUUGAAUAAUAAAUAAUUAUAUAGCAAAAUACUAUACUUUUUUGGUAUUGCUUGCUUUUGAAUUAAAAUGCUCUUGCUAAAAGUGAAUGUUUCUAUUUGCAGAUGUGAUUACUACAGAACAGGCUGGAAGGAGUACUGGUACAUGGGCCCCAAAUGUAACCACCUUUGGAACACUCUGGAUUUCAUUUUAGUGGCUACUCUUCCUGCAGUGGCACUGGUUGUCAUAGUGGUUGUAAUAUUUUCUGCUGUCUACUGCUUGAAAAUUAAAAAAGUUGGGAAGCAGCCAAAGCCUCCAUACAGUGGAGCACAGCAGAACCCUGCAUUCAGCACUGACACAGCUGCCAGCCCGGGGCACGGGCACCGUCAGCCAGCCGGGGUAAGAGGUGGCACGGGGGGCACAGCACAGCCCCCAGGCAUGGUGAUUCAGCACAAUGAAAUGGGAAUAGCAAAAAAAAAAAAAAAGGGAGUUUGAGUUUAAAGUCUCCUAGCAUCCGAUUUCCAAGAUCAGCUGAAUGUAUGUGAGAAAGUGAAACUUGCAUCGAAGAUUAAGUGAAACCAAUUUUGCGUAGGAGAAAACAAAGAACUAGGGAUUAUUUUUACUGGAUGCUCAAACAACUAUUUCCAUUUUUCGGCCAGUAAGAAGACCAG